GGAAUAUUGGACAAUGGGCGCAAGCCUGAUCCAGCCAUGCCGCGUGUGUGAAGAAGGCCUUCGGGUUGUAACGCACUUUUGUUGGGGAAGAAACCGACCGGAUUAAUACUUCGGUUGAAUGACGGUACCCAAAGCAUAAGCACCGGCUAACUUCGUGCCAGCAGCCGCGGUAAUACGGAGGGUGCAAGCGUUACUCGGAAUUACUGGGCGUAAAGCGUGCGUAGGCGGUGAGGUAAGUCUGCUGUGAAAGCCCGGGGCUCAACCUGGGAACUGCAGUGGAUACUGGCUAGCUAGAGUGUGUCAGAGGAUGGUGGAAUUCCCGGUGUAGCGGUGAAAUGCGUAGAGAUCGGGAGGAACACCAGUGGCGAAGGCGGCCAUCUGGGACAACACUGACGCUGAGGCACGAAAGCGUGGGGAGCAAA
rnacentral:rRNA from 1 species